GUAGCUCAGUGGUAGAGCACUUGCCCAGUAUGCACAGGGCCCUGGGUUCAAAUCCCAGC
rnacentral:tRNA from 1 species